UGUCAAGUCAUCAUGGCCCUUACGCCUAGGGCUACACACGUACUACAAUGGCGCGUACAAAGGGCAGCGAUGCCGUGAGGUGGAGCCAAUCCCAAAAAGCGCGUCUCAGUCCGGAUUGCAGUCUGCAACUCGACUGCAUGAAGUCGGAAUCGCUAGUAAUUCUGGAUCAGCAUGCCAGGGUGAAUGCGUUCCCGGGCCUU
rnacentral:rRNA from 1 species